rnacentral:rRNA from 1 species
UAGGCAGCAGUCGAGAAUUUUUCUCAAUGGGGGGAACCCUGAAGGAGCGACGCCGCGUGGAGGAUGAAGGUCUUCGGGUUGUAAACUCCUGUCAUUUGGGAACAAGUGCCGGUACGUAACUGCUACCGGCUUGAUAGUACCAGAAGAGGAAGGGACGGCUAACUCUGUGCCAGCAGCCGCGGUAAUACAGAGGUCCCAAGCGUUGUUCGGAUUCAUUGGGCGUAAAGGGUGUGUAGGUGGCGCCGUAAGUCGGGUGUGAAAUUUCGGAGCUUAACUCCGAAACUGCAUUCGAUACUGCGGUGCUUGAGGACUGGAGAGGAGACUGGAAUUCAUGGUGUAGCAGUGAAAUGCGUAGAGAUCAUGAGGAAGACCAGUGGCGAAGGCGGGUCUCUGGACAGUUCCUGACACUGAGACACGAAGGCCAGGGGAGCAAACGGGAUUAGAUACCCCGGUAGUCCUGGCAGUAAACGGUGCACGUUUGGUGUGGGAGGAUUCGACCCCUUCUGCGCCGGAGCUAACGCGUUAAACGUGCCGCCUGGGGAGUACGGUCGCAAGAUUAAAACUCAAAGAAAUUGACGGGGGCCCGCACAAGCGGUGGAGUAUGUGGCUUAAUUCGAUGCAACGCGAAGAACCUUACCUGGCCUUGACAUGCAUCUCUAAGCUGGUGAAAGCCAGUGACUCCCGAAAGGGAGAAUUUGCACAGGUGCUGCAUGGCUGUCGUCAGCUCGUGUCGUGAGAUGUUGGGUUAAGUCCCGCAACGAGCGCAACCCCUGUGAACUGUUGCCACCAAGCCGAGAGGCUUGAGCACUCUGUUCAGACUGCCCUGUGAAACGGGGAGGAAGGUGGGGACGACGUCAAGUCAGUAUGGGCCCUUACGGCCAGGGCUGCACACGUACUAC